rnacentral:lncRNA from 1 species
GCCCCGAGCCCGACAGCCGCAUAAAGCCUGCUGCUUUCACUGGCCCGGUGGGGGCCAGCAGGGUCAGGGCCCGCGGAAACCCUCAGCCUGGCGGGCCGGGAGGCCGCGGUGCUGCACUGGCUCGGCGCGCUCCCCGAGUGGCGCUCAGGCGGGGCGCGUUCAUUUCAUCUACAGACUGUCGGGAAGGCUUCCCGAACUCCUCCUCCCUGCCCGCCUUUGCGCAGGGCCGGACUCUUCGGAAACUGAAAUCACGGGCCGCCCGGCCCCCACCAGUCCUCGUGGGAUCCGGCCCGGGUUAACCUUCUAUGGGGAGGCCCAGGAGGGCCGGGCGGAGCGCCGGGGCGGGCGUGCGCUGACGUGGCGAGCGGCUCCCUCCACCCGCUCCUCCCGCGGGCACUGCCGAGGCCCAUGGGCGGGAAGCCGGGCGGCGGGCGGGACGUGGCCUCGGUCCCGGCCCUGCCCCGCCCCGCCGCCACUGAGACUCCCAGCGCCACCAACGUCGGAGUUGCAGUUUCUUUAGCUGUCAUAUGCAGACAAGUACUACCCACCUCGCCUUUGGAGUGAGCAGCAUCCCUGUGCCCAUCCUGCUGUGAUUCAGGAGUCUCGCAGAAGACAUCAGAAUGCCUUUCUCUGAGUCACAGUCUGUAUCUUCUAGAAAAGGCUGUCCAUCUUCACCCCAAGCCCACUGGCUCCUGAGAUACGACAUCCAGACCCAGUGCAGCUGGACCUGGCCCAGGAAGAUCAUGCGGUUUCUGGGAAGCACUGGAGAAGGAAAAGGCUGAAGAAAGGAAGACCGGAAAAGAAAUACAAGUCCUUCCGCCUUGGCAAAGAUGAUAGUACCGUUCCCUUCAGUGUUCCGGUUCUGCUCUAUUGGAUAAGUUCCGGUUUGACUAUGACUACGUGAAAAUGUGGAACCAGACCUUCACCCCACAUUCCAGCUCCAGCUCUACCACAGAGGAAGUGCAAUAUCACCUUAGUUAUUCAACACAUUAUGCUCCUCGUGAUACAACCAGAGUUCACAUCAGCAAUCUUGGCAGCUCUCACCACGCUGCUGACUCACGACUCUCUCAUGUCCCAAUUUCCUGUCCAUUGUUCUUUCCUCUACUUGGCCUGAUUUCUAAAGGCCUCUCUUGGUUGCAUUAAGCGGGAUUCCUGAGGGAUUCCCUUGGCAGUUACCUUGGGGGAGCUCUUAGGUUUGGGGCUGAUCCAUGUCCUCUAAAUGUAGGACUUCAAAGCUCCCAAAGAUAGGCAGGCCCAGUGGGAAGCUGGGAAAUGCUCUCUGACCCCUCUGGGAGGGCUGGCAGUCAGAGGGCCUUUUGGAAAGAGUCAGACCUGAUCCAUAAGUCCCUGGAAAACACCCUGCCCAGGGAGCAAAUGCCACUGUGGCCUUGACUGAGGCUUCAGAAGAGUUUGGGAGCUGCAAUUCAUCCACACACGCAUUCAUUUUCAAGUAGUGGUUUGCAGUUCAGGCUUUGGAGCCACAUAAGCCUGGCUUCAAAGCCACUUUCCAGCUUUGUAGGAAGUCUCUACAUUUUUAAACCUCCAUUUUUUUUUCCUGUAAAACUGGGGUCUUCAUGGUACUUAACUUCAUCGUGAUGUUGAGAGAAUGAAAAGAAAAAGGAUAAAUAAAUGGCUUAGCCUCGUGCCUUGGCA